GAGUUUGAUCCUGGCUCAGGACGAACGCUGGCGGCGUGCCUAACACAUGCAAGUCGAACGGAGACUUUCAAUAAGCUUGCUUAGAGAAAGUUUUAGUGGCGGACGGGUGAGUAACGCGUGGGUAACCUACCCAUAAAGCCGGGACAACCCUUGGAAACGAGGGCUAAUACCGGAUACCCUUAUAGAGUGGCAUCACUGUAUAAGAAAAGGUGGCCUCUGAAGAUGCUACCGAUUAUGGAUGGACCCGCGUCUGAUUAGCUAGUUGGUGGGGUAAAGGCCUACCAAGGCGACGAUCAGUAGCCGGCCUGAGAGGGUGAACGGCCACACUGGGACUGAGACACGGCCCAGACUCCUACGGGAGGCAGCAGUGGGGAAUCUUCCGCAAUGGACGAAAGUCUGACGGAGCAACGCCGCGUGUAUGAUGAAGGUCUUCGGAUUGUAAAGUACUGUCUUUGGGGAAGAAUGACUGGCUUGAAAAUAUUGAGUCAGUAUGACGGUACCCAAGGAGGAAGCCCCGGCUAACUACGUGCCAGCAGCCGCGGUAAUACGUAGGGGGCAAGCGUUGUCCGGAAUUAUUGGGCGUAAAGGGCGCGUAGGCGGAU
rnacentral:rRNA from 1 species